UACGUAGGGGGCAAGCGUUGUCCGGAAUCAUUGGGCGUAAAGAGCGUGUAGGCGGCCAGAAAAGUCCGCUGUGAAAACUCGAGGCUCAACUUCGAGCUGUCGGUGGAAACUUUCUGGCUAGAGUCCGGAAGAGGAGAAUGGAAUUCCUGGUGUAGCGGUGAAAUGCGCAGAUAUCAGGAGGAACACCGAUUGCGAAGGCAGCUCGCUGGGACGUUACUGACGCUGAGACGCGAAAGCGUGGGGAGCAAACAGG
rnacentral:rRNA from 1 species